rnacentral:rRNA from 1 species
GACGAACGCUGGCGGCGUGCUUAACACAUGCAAGUCGAACGGAAAGGCCCUGCUUGCCGGGUACUCGAGCGGCGAACGGGUGAGUAACACGUGGGUGAUCUGCCCUGCACUUCGGGAUAAGCCUGGGAAACUGGGUCUAAUACCGGAUAGGAGCCAUUUUUAGUGUGAUGGUUGGAAAGUUUUUUCGGUGUAGGAUGAGCUCGCGGCCUAUCAGCUUGUUGGUGGGGUAAUGGCCUACCAAGGCGGCGACGGGUAGCCGGCCUGAGAGGGUGGACGGCCACAUUGGGACUGAGAGACGGCCCAGACUCCUACGGGAGGCAGCAGUGGGGAAGAUUGCACAAUGGGCGCAAGCCUGAUGCAGCGACGCCGCGUGGGGGAUGACGGCCUUCGGGUUGUAAACUCCUUUCGCUAGGGACGAAGCUUUUUGUGACGGUACCUAGAGAAGAAGCACCGGCUAACUACGUG